GUAUAGAGCAUAUAGUCUAUAGAACUAGAAACCCACUGAGAGAGAACGAAUGGCGUUGACAGAAUAAACAUUUGACACCCUUUUCUCUGUAUAUUAAUUCUUGUUAAUACAGAAGCAAGUCUUAAAUAUUUUGUAAUCAUCUGAUCAAAUUUCCCUCCCUAUGUGUGCAUUUUUAACUAAUAACUUGUUAAUAACAGAUCUUAAAACAGAGCACCCAUUGCCGAACUAGUGAACUAAUUACUGAUUGAUAACAGUUUUUUCCAUUAAAUU